AGCGAACGCUGGCGGCGUGCUUAACACAUGCAAGUCGAGCGAAGGUGUUUCAAGGGUAACCUUGAGAUACACUUAGCGGCGGACGGGUGAGUAAUACGUGGAUAACUUACCUCUAGGCCUGGGAUAACCCCGGGAAACUGGGGCUAAUACCUGAUAAGACCACAUUGUCUACGGACAAAGGGGUAAAAGGUGGCUGUGCAAACAGCUAUCGCCAAAAGAUAGGUUCACGUCCCAUCAGGCAGUUGGUGAGGUAAUGGCUCACCAAACCAAAGACGGUAGCCGGCCUUGGCGGGUGAACGGCCACACGGGGACUGAGACACGGCCCCGACUCCUACGGGAGGCAGCAGUGGGGAAUAUUGGGCAAUGGGCGCAAGCCUGACCCAGCGACGUCGCGUU
rnacentral:rRNA from 1 species